rnacentral:snRNA from 1 species
AUCGCUUCUCGGCCUUUUGGCUAAGAUCAGUGUAGUAUCUGUUCUUAUCAGUUUAAUAUCUGAUACGUCCCCCAUCGGGGACUAUACAUAUUAAAUGGAUUUUUCGAACAGGGAGUCGGAAGCGGGGCUUGCUCCGUCCGCUCCACGCAUCGACUCGGUAUUGCAGUACCUCCGAGAACGGUGCACCCUCU